UGAUUGGCUCCCCCAGUCGGUAAGGAAGGGAUCCUCCUGACCCAGCACCUAGACCAACCUCUUUUGGAAGAGACGGAGCUUGAGAGGCAUCCUGUCCUCGUGCACAAUCAUGGUGCUAAUCAAAAAUGGUGAGACUUAUUUUCAGACUUGCACUGUUUGCUUAAAACCAUAACAGGCCAGGAAAUUGCUUCAUGUACAUAAAGGGAUAAAAAGAUUUAUUUUCCCCAUCGUUUUUCUUCCUCAGAAAUAGUCGUUAGUAGACAUUUCUUCUUUUUUUAAAAACCUGUAGAAAUAUUAACCAACCGGAAAAUAAUUAUUGAUUCUUACACUAUGCUAGGCACUGAGGGAGACUUGUAAAAAGUUAAAAAAAAAAUAAUAGUGGCCUUUAAAAAAAUGUUUAUUUCUGAGAGAAAUAGCACACAAGCAGGGGAGGGGCAGAAAGAGAGAGAAAGAGAGAGAGAGAGAAUCCCAAGCAGGCUCCACACUACCAGCACAGAGCUCAAUGUGGGACUCAAAACUCAUGAACUGUAAGAUCAUGACCUGAACUGAAAUCAAGCGUCAGAUGCUCAACGGACUGAGCCACCCAGGUGCCCCUAAAAAAACUGAUAGUGACCUUCUAUUCUUUCCUCUAAAUGAUGCUUCAGUGUGUAUUGAGUAACAGUAACUAUAGAUUUAAAUUUUUUUAAUGUUUAUUUUUGAGAGAGAGAGAGACAGAACAUAAGCAGGGGAGGGGCAGAGAGAGAGGGAGACAUGGAAUUCGAAGCAGGCUCCAGGCUCUGAGCUGUCAGCACAGAGCUCAACAUGGGGCUGGAACUCACAGACUGCAAGAUCAUGACCUGAGCUGAAGUCAGACGCUUAACCGACUGAGCCACCCGGGCGCCCCUGGACACUAGAGAUUAAAAAAAAAAAAAUGAAACAAAAAUCUAGGAUUGAUUUCCUUUAUUAAGGCCUAUUAAGUAGUCCAAGAACUUACUGUCUAAGAGGUUCCCAACUGGGGAUAAUUUGCUCCCUAGGGGAUAUGUGACAGUGUCCAGAGAAAUAUUUGGUUGGCCCUACUGAGAUGGGUGGGGAAUGCUACUGGCAUCUAAUGAGUGGAGACCAGUGAUGCUGCUAAGUAUCUUCCAGUGCACAGGACACCCUCCAACAGCACAGAACCACAAUGUUACUAGUGCCAAGACUGAGACACCCUGCAAACCCAAUGGGCUCUUCCUUAAGAGCACUCUGCAGGUGCAAAUUAACAAAGCAAGCCUUCAAGCCACCCCUUGCCUUCCCUUUCCCCAGUAGGCUUGGAACAGGGGAAGGUCCGUAGCUAAGGGGUGAAGAGAGGGUAUGGGCCAUGCCAUCCAGGCGGGCCUUGGUGGCCCUGUUUCAGAGGAUGGUCAUCAGUUCUGUCGUCAGGCCCCAGCAUUUUAACUGUGACGGCACAGGACAGAGGGCAUGUCCAGUUAAGUCUGGCUGUUCCACAGAUGACCUGAGCCCUUCUCCUUUUUGCUGCAAGCAGCCAGGUUUCCAGUCAGCCCCCAAUGUGCAGAAGGCUAGUCAAAUACAGCUGACCUUUGAACAGCACGGGGCCACUUAUACGUGGAUGUUGUCAGUAAACACAGGACAGUGCCGUGAAUGUAUUUUCUCUUAUGACUGACUUAGGACCAUUUCCUUCUCUUUAGCUUAUUUUAUUUAUUGAUCAAUCGAUAGAUCUAUAAAGCUACUUGCUUUAUCUAUCUGUAACAUAGAUAACAUAAAAUACGUGUUCAUCGACUGUGUACGUUAUCUGUAUAAGGCUUCUGUUGACUAGUAAAGUUUUGGGAGAGUCAGAAGUUGCUGAAGGAUUUUGGAGUGUGUGGAAAUUCUGCCCCCGUAACUCUGCUGUUCAAGGGUCAAUUGUAAUAUUACUGAAAGUCAGUGACACUCUUAAAAUGUAAACCUAACAUUGGCUCCGAAGUUGAAACUACUAUGAUACUUUUCUUUUGUUUUACCAUGUGUAAGUAUUAACUAUAAGUUUAAAUUUUUUUAAUGUUUGUUUAUUUUUGAGAGAGAGAAAAAGAGAAUGUGGGAGGGGCAGAGAGAGGGAAACACAGAAUCUGAAGCAGUCUCCAGGUUCUGAGCUGUCAGCACAGAGCCCUACCCAGGGCUCGAACUCAAAAACCUCAAGAUCACAACCUGAGCUGAAGUUGGACGCUUAACUGACUAAGCCACCCAGGCGCCCCAAGUUUAAAUUUUAAAAGUGGCCCUGCAACGAUGCUGUUCAAUAUUGCCACUAGCCACAUGUGGCUACUUAAAAGUUAAAAUUCAUUCUGCAACCACACCAGUCAUAUUAAAAGCACUCAGUAGCCACAUGUCCCUACUGGCUACUGAACUGGACAAUGUGGACAAAGAACAUUUCUGUUACCAUAGAAAGUUCUACUGAACAGCCCUGCCUUAUAAGCCAUUUCUAAAGAUCCUUGCCAGUGUAUACAGUUACUGCUAAAAAAAAAAAAGGCUUGUUUUCUAGCAGCUAAGGCACCAGGGCAAAUGCUUUGCAUGAUCUCGUCAUUGUCUGUUAGAAAGACAGACAUGUUCUGCUGGGAGGGACCAUCUUUUGUCAGACAGGCAAUUUGGGGAAGGGUUUCUGUAAUGGAUGCUGGGUAAUGUAUCAGAUGAUUGAAACUGAUUUUCCAGAAGGCAUAACGAUGUAAAAUUCAAGUAGAUAACCUCUGUAAGGCAUUUCUGAUCUAAGUCAAGUGUGUAUUGUUAAAUAUUAAUUCCAUUAAGGUAUGUCAGCAGGGAAUUAAGAUAUGUGACCCAAAUAUAUUUCUUUCUAGUAAUUGAGUGUAAUAGCACACUAACGCUCAGUGGAUCUUAACUGGGGGUAAGUCAGGGAGGAGGGAGGAUCGGAAAGUCCUGGGAGCCCCUACAAAAUGCAUACGUUGCCCCCACGUAGGGUUUGCCAGAAUGGUGGGGCGGGUGGUUGGGGAGGGAAGGUCUUGCACACGUAUAUUUUCACAAUGUUCCCCGUGUAAGUCCACUGUACCCAAUCUAGAUGAGUAUUCUUUAGAGAUAUUAAAGAUAAAUAAUUGGGGCACCUGGGUGGCUCAGUCGGUUAAGCGUCCGACUUUGACUCCGGUCACGAUCUCACAGUCUGUGAGUUCGAGCCCCGCGUCGGGCUCUGUGUGGACUGCUCGGAGCCUGGAGCCUGCUUAGGAUUCUGUGUCUCCCUCUCUCUGACCCUCCCCUGUUCGUGCUCUGUCUCUCUCUCUCUCUCUCAAAAAUAAAUAAACAUUAAAAAAGUAUUUUUAAAGAUAAAUAAUUAAUUUGCCUCUUUUCCCUUGUGUGAUGGGGGGGUGUGGCUUAAAAAAAGAUCUCUGGGCUCCACUUCUAGAUAGGAUUCUGUGCCCUUUGGGUGAGCCUGUUCUCUCUCACUGUCCUUCUUUCAAAAGACUCACUGGUUGUUCCCGGCUACCUCUUCCCUCUAAGACCUUUAGGAUGAUCCACUGGCUUUGGAACAACUGCCUGGGACAUUUCCUUCCAGUAUCAGGUAUCUGUCUCCAGCAAACCUGUGCAAGCUGAGUAUCACCAUCUGGUCCUGGAUGCAUUUUGUUAUCAGUGCUGGAAGUGAUGAUACGGUAUGCCGCUGUCAUGUGCCCAGAGGAUGCAGGGG
rnacentral:lncRNA from 1 species